UACGUAGGGGGCAAGCGUUGUCCGGAAUUAUUGGGCGUAGAGCGCGCGCAGGCGGUUAUUUAAGUCUUAUGUUUAAACCUGGGGCUCAACCUCGGGACGCAUGGGAAACUGGGUAACUUGAGUGUAGGAGAGGAAAGUGGAAUUCCACGUGUAGCGGUGAAAUGCGUAGAGAUGUGGAGGAACACCAGUGGCGAAGGCGACUUUCUGGCCUAUAACUGACGCUGAGGCGCGAAAGCGUGGGGAGCAAACAGG
rnacentral:rRNA from 1 species